rnacentral:rRNA from 1 species
UACGGAGGGUGCAAGCGUUAUCCGGAUUCACUGGGUUUAAAGGGUGCGUAGGUGGGUCUGUAAGUCCGUGGUGAAAUCUCCAAGCUUAACUUGGAAACUGCCAUGGAUACUAUAGGUCUUGAAUACCGUGGAGGUGAGCGGAAUAUGUCAUGUAGCGGUGAAAUGCUUAGAUAUGACAUAGAACACCAAUUGCGAAGGCAGCUCACUACCCGAAUAUUGACUCUGAGGCACGAAAGCGUGGGGAUCAAACAGGA